rnacentral:lncRNA from 1 species
CCGGAGGAAACGGAGGCUGCGCUUGCGUAUGUGUGAUGCCGCCGCCCCACCGUCUACUUUCCCACCGACCCCGCUUACGUCUACCGCCUACCAAAACCUCGCAAGAAGCUCGCCCUUGUCGUCUCCCAGCGGGCUUCUUAGCUCCCAGCUUGUUUGAUGGGGGUGCCUCUUUUUCUUUCCAGGUAUAGCUGUCCAGCGACACCAUCAUGCAUUCAUUUCUCCAACAAACAUUUUCAUGGGCUCUUGCUCUAUACUGGGGAUGUAGUGGUAAAUGAAAUGGACGAGGCCCUGCCCUCGUGGAACUUACAGUCUGGCAAAGGAAACAGACAAUAAAAUUCUCAGUUGUCUAAGGAGGCAGAGAUGCAUGGGGAGAGGAUCAGAGUAGGGAUGCGGAAGCAGCGAGUGGUCAGGAGUGUGCGUGCCAAAAGGCAGGAGACCUGUGGGACGUGGGGGCAGCUGGGGCCGGAACUUGCGCUGGAGGAACACCCCUUGCCUGCUGGGGCGAGAAGAGGACCCUUUCCUUGGGUGAAAUUCCCCAUAUUGUUAAAAGGACAAUUAAAGAAAUGAAAGAGAGGUCACCUGGGUGAAUAGGCAACUUAGAUGGGCCUCCCUGUGUUCCUGUCAUGCCUCCAAUUCUGCGUCCAGGUGUCCGGAACACAUUUUUUUCUGCCUUUGAAACCUUCCAGUACCUCUGGCAGAGAUAUACCAUACCCUCCUUGUUACCUGCGUGCGGAAUCUUAACUCAUCGUUGUGCUACAUCUGCACCUUCUGCCUUUGUGCCUUGUUUUGUGUUUUCCCUCCUCCGGGGAGAAUAUAAUAAACUUAGCUGAGUCCGUUCUACA